GCCCCAGCCCCGCAGAGAGGGCCAAGUGCAGUGUCUUUGGGAACGGGGGCAAGGGUCAGUCGCAGUCCUAGAACUUCAACCAAGGACACGGAUCUGAGCGUGUAAGAGGUGGCGGCAGGAGGAAAGGCAGCCCGACGUGAUUUCUCACACUGUCCUGACGGUCCCCCGCCCCCAAUCAAAAGCUUCGACGUUUCCGCUCGGUCACUCGAGCAACACGUGGGUACCUCUGGGACGAGAACCUUCGAGGCCGCCAAUGCCUUCUCUGAGACCCUCCCCCCGCCUCCAUCGCCGGGCUCUCUGGGUUUUCCACCUGCUCUCCGCCCCCCGGGGAGCUGCCCCUUCGCACUGGGGACUCGCAUCGCGCGCUUCUGGCACCGUAACAUCUGGGUGGCUUCCGCCUGCGCAAUUUCAGGCAGCGCCCGCUCCCUUACACGUGAGCUCUUCUCUCUCUGCUCCCUACCCCCCUGGGGAGGGGACAGGAGGCUACAGUGUCGCCGGUAACAGAGUUGCACUCGCUCUUCUCCUGACCCCUCCCGGGCCACGGGAACUUGCAGGGCGCUCCCGGUCCUCAGGUGCAUCGCCCUUCCCCCCAUCUUUGCAGACACAGGUCGGCCGCCGCGCUCGCCUCUUCUCCCGUUUGUCACCUCGCCCGCCCGCGCCCUCCCCACCCGGGCAAAGGGAUUUCAGACACGCGGGGAGGAGGCUGGGUCAUAGCCGGGCUCAACCCCGGCAGCCUCGGGACAAGUUCAGACGCUGGACACCGAGAUCCCAGCCCCGAGCGGGACUCAGAGCGCCGGAAGUCGCUGGGUGACAGCGGGCCGCGGGACCAGCCCGAGGGCGUCCGCGCCCGCACCCCCGGGAGCCUCUCCCCCGGCCCCCGCUCGUCCGGCCGUGCGCCCCCCCCCCGCCCCCACUCCACCCCGCUCCAGGAACGCCCCGGGCCCCGGGGCACUGCCGCGGGCUCCUCACCGUCCCCGCGGCCAGUCCUCCGCUCCCCCCGGGCGCCCCUCGGCUCCGCCUGCAGGGGUGCGUGUGCCCCUGUUCGCUCGGCAACUUCGCGCCCCUCCCCUGCGGGCAGCCGACGCGCGGACCCUCCCGGGCGCACGGACCUCAGCCGGGCUGCAGGCAGACCCAGCAGCCGGAAAGAACCCGCGAGAGAUCUUUGGUCCGCUUCUCCUCAUUAGUGCCUAUGUCCCUUGAUGUCGGGAACCAUGCUUAGUGCUGCUUUCAGUAGUGGCAGCUUUGUAUUAACGGGUGUAGAGGACAGUCAGUAAACACCGACCGCGGAAUGACAGCAUAGCAUGGGCCCUGCUGGCUUUCGUCACCGUUUCCCCCGGAAAAGAGCAUAAUAUGCCCGCAUCGAUUGAUGCCAGAACUAUACCUCCAGAAGCACGCUUCAGCUCGACAGAUGACAGCCGGGUCCUGCUGACUGCUUUCUGAACUGCGGAGAGCAAGACCCCAUUUUCCUUUGCCCGUGUCUGGUACUGAUGAUAAGGUUCUCAAGGGAGCAGACGUCUCAGGCUGUGGUUUCCUCACCAUUGUCACACGUAUCUGCUUGCACAAUGGGAAACGUGUUUGGCCAACGUCCUUAGCGUUUGAGUGCGUCCCAGGAAUGAAUGUCUCAGGGGUGCUGAAAUCAGGCCGAUGCACUUGGGCAUCUGAUCGCGACCCUCCACCCACCUCCACCCCUGCCUCUAGCUGCCACACCAGGUGACCUGGAAGGCGAUGUGGGUAGAAGGCAGUGAGCAGAACGUUUCCCGGCAAGAAACAAAAUGUGCCCUAAAUGUAGCCAACCAUCCCCUUCUUUCCAGAAAUUUGAGAUUAGACGCUCAGACAUUAUGUUACAGCGGGACGUAAUUCUCUGCUGUAAUAUCAUUUGGAUUAAAAAUUUUUUAAAAAUA